UACACUUGAGUUUAUAGAACACACACCCAAUUAAAUUAUGCAAUAUUCAACCAAGUUAUUUAACGUUAAAAAAAUUAAAACUUUCAACAACGGAUCUCUUGGCUCUCGCACCGAUGAAGAGCGCAGCGAAAUGCGAUAACUAAUGUGAAUUGCAGGCAUCGUGAAUCAUCGAGUUCUUGAACGCACAUUGCGCCCUGUGGUAUUCCGCAGGGCAUGCCUGUUUGAGCGUCAGUUCAUUCUAUGAGCUGGAAUUACUGACACGCGCGCGUUAGCGUGUGUGGCCGUUUUUUCAAAAUACAUGUGAAAAACUCUCCAAUGCGUUACUACGUAUCCGCAUUGGGACCAACCACUAAAUUUGACCUCAAAUCAGGUAGGAAUACCCGCUGAACUUAAGCAUAUCAAUAAGCGGAGGA
rnacentral:rRNA from 1 species